rnacentral:misc_RNA from 1 species
CAGGGUCUGACGACUGCCCAAACCAAACCGUGAACCAUUCCAUACCAAACUUGCUACGGCGGGCCGCUCGCUGGGGGAGCCUGGGCCGUCAAGGUGGUCUGCCGAAGCAAACAAACAAAACUACUUUUGACACAUUACCUCUGAGAACUUUCUGAAUUGAGAAAAAUCA